GAGGGCAUCGGAUUCCCUCGUGCCAGAAAGUUGUGAAACCAUCAAACCCAGGCUGCCACCGUGGCUCCGUCAUGGCCAGAGCUGCUGAUUUGGGAAACUUCGCUUCAGUCACCAGGGUCAGGGGAACCGAGGACGGGAAGAGGGCCGAGUCCGGUUCGCACGGCGGCUGGCGGACAGGUGGCCGAGGAAAAGCUGUGGCGUGGCAUCUGGCGCGGCUUAGAGCCAGAAGACUAGAGAACCGCCCCGCCCCGCCCUCUGCUGGGUCGGAGCAUUGGAGCACCACACCCUAGAGAGACCUCAUCGCACAGGCUUGGCUGCAGGGUCACGGGCUCCUGGACCGCUUUCUGGGGAAAGCGUGCAGAAAGUCACUGGUCUGUGUAGCCUUGAGGCUAUCCAGGGAUGUCUACUACUGAGGCUUUGGAGGUGGAGCGGGAAGCUGCUGCUCUCCCUGCUGGGCAAUACAAAGAGUCAGGCUAGGCAGGCCUGGAAGUGGGGGGGGGGGGUUUGCAGAGAGAGGAGGUGCCUCCCUUGAGCCACACCCCUUCACCAUGGCCACCUUGGGUGAGGGAAGAUAAUUCUGCUGAAGCUACAAGACCCCAAGCAUCCUUUAGAUUUCUGUUCUGGCCACACUGAUCAUCACCAUCACCACAUGGUCCACCUUAUAAUGUGUUUCUGUUAAAGCUCUGUCUCCCUGUAAACAUUCAGAAAGCACCUGUCCAAGUAUCCUCAUGCUGUUGCCUGUGUGACCCCUCUUCUGGGUUCAUCAGUAUUGUGUCCUGUGAUGACCAACCAUUAGUUAGCUUACUGGAGAGGAAGAGCUGAAAUCACCUAGGAGAUACCACUUUGACUGGGUCCAAGAGGGUGUUUUCAGAUAGGUUUACCUGUGGAUCUCACGGGCUAACGCCCCAGAACAAAUAAAAAAACAAAGAGGGGGUGGGGCUGGAGAGAUGGCUCUGCAGUUAAGAGCACUGGCUGCUCUUGCAGAGGAACCGAGUUUGAUCCCCCACACCCACACGGCAGCUCACAACCAUCUAACUCCAGCAUCAGAGGAUCCAGCUCCCUGUCUGGCCCUUGUGAGCACUGCACGCCUGCGGUGCACAGGCACACAUGCGGGCAAAACACUCACACAUAAACAAUAACUUAAAGAAGGGAAGGGGAAGCAAGCUGAGUGUCUACAUUUAUAACUCUCUGCUUUCCAGCCGUGGACAAAACGAAACAACUCAUCUCACAGUUUUGUCUCCAUAGAAGACUGUGUCCCCUCAGACUGUAACUCAGAAGCCCCUCCUCCCUCAAGCUGAUUUUGUAUUUUGUCACAACAAUGAGAAGAAGAAGAAGAAGAAGAAG
rnacentral:lncRNA from 1 species